UUCUCUGUCAACAGCACAGCACGGUGAUUAUGAAUGCGCCCUGGACCAGAUGCAUGGGUUCAAGUCCUGGACAAGGAACUUCUCUGUGACUCUGUCUCCCAGUUGGGACACAGGGAAGAUUAGAGCACACUCCUCACACGAUUCUAGGAGGGUCAAAUGGGCUGACACAUGCCUGGCACAGAAUAAGCCCUAAAUAUAUGCUAGCCUUUAUUAUUAUACUGUUAUAUUACUUGCAAUUCCUUUCUCCGUUAUAAUUUCCUGACAGCAGCGAAUUUUUGCUUUAAAUGAAUCCAAGCUGUUAGUAGUGAAAGAUGAGAGAUCUUUGUUCUCAUACUUGGACACUUUCCCAUCCAAACCCUGACAGCAGCAUUGAGAUUUCUUUUUUUUUUUAAUAUUUUUUUAAUGUUUAUUUAUUUUUGAGAGAGAGAGACAGAGCAUGAACGGGGGAGGGGCAGAGAGAGAGGGAGACACAGAAUCGGACGCAGGCUCCAGGCUCCGAGCUGUCAGCACAGAGCCCCACGCGGGGCUCGAACCCACCGACCACGAGAUCAUGACCUGAGCUGAAGUCGGCCGCUUAACCGACUGAGCCACCCCGGUGGCCCGAGAUUUCUGAAAUAGAUGAUUUGCCUUCACCUCCAGAACCAUUUUUAGGAGACGCUGUCUGAACUCUUCGUUAAACAGCUUACAGAUAAAAGUGCUUUCUUUUCAGCGGUGACACGUUCCCCCAUCCAACCAUCCACCAUGAUUCUAAAGAGCCGCUCAACGCAGGGCCCGCUGGUCUGCGGGCAUUUCCUCCUGGCUCCCCGCUCGCUCUCUGCUCCAGACAAACCCUCCAGAGGAUCUCGGAGAUCAUGGAGCCCGCUCCUGUCUCGGGAGCUCCUUCCCCACAUCCGUGCACGGCUCCCUCCAACUCCAGGCCUCCCGCGAUCACCCCAGCGAAAAGAGAGAGCGUUCCCGCCAACCCUCUCGGCCAGAACUGGCUGCCAAUUCACCUCAUUCAACAACGACGUCAAGUGACCUGCUCGCGGGCCGGGCUUCCACUGAAUGAAGUCUUGGCUCCCAGGCUCCGGUCCGCAGAGGCACCUCUGGGAAGUCAAGGGUGGAGUGCUAGACGGCAGGAGUGGAGCGCGGGUGGGCAGCAGAUGGGAAAAGCAAGGCCUUCCAUUAGAGGAAGUCUGGAUGGCCCUGUGUCUCAGGCACCUCUUAUUUCCUGAUGCAUUCACUUAUUCAUUCAUCACCUGCCCACAUAUCUACCGGGUGCCUCCCGUGUGCCAGGCAGAGAAGCACACGGCGUCUGACACACCGCAGCGCUCAAUAAAUACUUGCAGAGAAAAGGGUGAGAAUAGCCUCGCCCCCUCUUGUCUCUCUCUCUCGUCUCAAGGCCGCUGUCUGGGAGCCUGCUGUGGGCCUGAUGGCCCACGGACAAGGACCUGUUUCUCUCCACACGGCGACUAUUAAUGCCUCUGCCAACUGCGAAGCUCGCUAAGUGACUCCACGGGCAAUAAAUCAGGUGCUCAGACGGUGCCAAUGACUCAAGACCCCGAGCAGUGAGACUACACACAGGAACAGCUGGCUUGUUUUUGACAAAAAUAUGCCAGAUGCUUUUUUCAGUGUCGUCACCCCACACCCAGACUAUUGCAGUGGCCCUCACUCCGCACCCUGGCGAGUUCUGCGCUCCGGUGCUAGGUGAGUCCUACGCCGGGAUUUCUUUAAGCUGCCCCUGGUCCAAGAACAUCCAAAUACACAGCACAGCCGGCCUCUUCAGGCCCGGGACUCUGUGCCACCAGCCUGAGUCACUCUCGCUGCCCGCCCCUAAUGUCCCCAGCCACACCAAUCUAUUCACCAGCUCCCAAGCAAGUUUCAGGCUUUGCCCAGACUGAGCAGGCCGCCCGGGAUGCACUUCCCGGCCUUCCAGAAACUUCCGUCACCCUGUCUGACCUCUCUUUCUCAGCCUUGGGGUUGAGCACUAGGCUGGCACCAAGGAAGGCUGUCUGGGUUCAAAUUCCAGCUGAGUGGCCGUGGGCAAGUAACUGAGCCUCAGUUCCCCUAUCUGUGAAACGGGAAUCUCACACCUGUGCACCGUCACAGCCAGACCUCAGUCGCUGUUGGACCACUUCUCUCCGAGGGAAGUCUCCUGCCUCCCCCCUGGCUAGGCUCUUUCCUGAGGGCAGGCCGGGCUCCCUGCUCCUGUGUUGCUGGAAUACACAACCUCCAAUUUCUCCUCCACGGCUCUGGCACCUUUCUCUGCGUGGGAGCCAACCUGUGCCAGGCCCUAGUUGGUCGUGUUGGACCAUAUUUCUCCAAAGAAAAUCUAGACCACUUCCUGGCGCUGGGCUCCCCUGCCUCCCUCCCUCUCCAUGCACUGCCCGCGGUAGGAGGCUGCGGCCAAGUGCGCUGCCAAGCACAGCCGGCCCGUCCCUACACCGCUGGAUUGGCCGCAGCUGAACUCCGUAUUGUUUUUCCACAUGGUCUCUCCGCCUGGAGAAGCAUCCCUCUGGAAGGUCCCGCGAGAGAGACAAUUUCCCCACCCUUCGCUGGGUCACCGGCACCUCCCCAGCCAGGACGGGUCUCGCUGAGCCAGAAAUGAUGCGAAACCAGGGUGAUGUCCUUCGGGAUCCAAAAUUCCGCGACUCUGGGAAUUCUAUUCGUCUAAUUCACAGCCUGUAGUUUAAUCAGCGGUCUGUGUUCAGAUGGGCCACCACAUUGCCCUCCGCCAGCAGGCUGGGAGUUGUCUGGAACGGGAAGCCUGACCUGCCCAUUGGACCAGACAGUGCCAGCCACGAUGGUCUCAGGUUGUUGAGUUCAACAGACAGCUUGCAGCAGAGGCCAGCCGUCAGCUGUCGGCACUCCUGGAUGGCGUGACACCAGCAGAGCAUUAUCCCCGAUGAAUCACAGCCGAGGUACUUUUCCACUGCCCCCCCCCCAUCCUUUCUUAAAGCCCUGUCACCUCGCAUUGUGGAGACCUGUGUCCCUCUUUCCCGAUGGCCUCCACCUCUUGUAGGCGGCGUCUGGGCGCUCAAGCCUAGCCUAGUUCCUGGCACCCAGUCAUUAAAUGACUUCACCGUCGCUUAAAAAAGAAGAGCCGCCACUUUAGAGAUCAGGCCUGAAAGGCGCACCAACGUUCCCCGUUCCCCGUCCUGAAGACCUGUGGCUGGAGACAGGGGAGGGAGAGAUAACCCGACCCCUCAGCUACAGGAAGACCCAGCCCAACCACCCUGAUCCUUCAAAGGGGAAUCAGGAAAUCCUCACUAAUGGCCCAGCUUCCCUACUUUGAGAUUCCAGAGGAAGCAGGGUAGUGACCCAGGGAGAUGCUAAUACACCAAGCAAGAAAUGCAGGAUACAAACAAAAGUGUGCGUGGUGCUCGCCCCGCCCCUGAUUGUUAAGAAACUGACUGUCAGGCUCCAACGUGGGCAGAACAAAGCCUGAGGCUAA